CAGUGGGGUGAUAGACAGACAGUGAUGGCUGAAUUAGCUUGCUUUUAUACAUCCAGAGACAGAAGGCCGGACUUUGGUCUUGAUUAUGCAACUAUUUCACCUCCAGACUACCCACUAUUGUGCACCAAGUUUGGGACAUUACCAACACUGGAGGAGGAGGAGGGCCCCAUGACAGAUUAACAGGGAGUAGACUGAAUCUGUGGUAGCUAAGGAGGAAGUGCUCCAGAGCUAUGCAUUACAGAGGACAGUAGAGAGAAGCCAGAACUGGAUUCUUCAUAACAUGGAUACUAGAGACACUUCCUCUGAGAAGGGGCCCAAAUGAUAGGGAUAGUAGGGCCUUAGGAGAGAAGAACACUAUAAUCCAUUAGUUUGAAAUAGAAUGAAUACCUAUGAAGUUGAAAGACCAUUUUUCUUUCUUGUUUGAGAUAGGCUUUCACUAUGUAGUCCUGCCUAGCCUAGAGCUCCAUACAUAGACCACAGAGAUCCACCUGUGUCUGCCCUGAGUGCUGGGAUUAUAGGCCUAUACUACCACACCCGACCCUUGGGAGUCUUUCAAUGAAGAGGAUCCUGAAUUUAAGGAUGCGAGAAGUGGAGACUCCAGGGCUACCGGUUAUGGAUCUUGAGGCAAGAAUGGCUGUGGAUGGGGAGUGCCUGGGAGGAACACACUGAAACCGCAGGAGGAUCUUGGAGUCAGCACCUGUGCCCAGACGCAUGGAUGACAGAGCAGAAACUGAAGUCACGUGGGGGAGACACAGACACAUGAACAGUCAGUGCCUGUAGUCACCUGGCAGAGACAUGUGAGAACAGCAGCAAGCAUCUCAGGCAGGCUUCCAGAGUGCGUGAGUGAGCAGGGGCUUUGGGAAGUCUCUCUUUGAUGGCUCCAGUCUCCCUUUCUUAGUGAUUAAGAGCAGGGCCACAGCAUAGAACAGAACCCGAACGGGGCAGGGGUGGGGGCAGAUACCAACCCCUGGGCAGUUCAAUCAGUCUCCCUGAGAUCUUGUCUGUUGUGUGUCCUUGAAGAGCCAACUUCAUUGACAAACUGAACUUUAUGGGCCCAAGGACUGAGCACAACUUCCUCCUGAUAGUAAUGGUUGAAUAAAUGCAUAAAGUCAA